UUUCAAGCUAUGCACAGCACCAAAUCUUGCUGCCACACAUAUGGCCUUCCAGCAGCAACCCUCUCCAGCUAGGGAUUGACCACAGUUUCCAGUAGCUUCACAUAGCUGUCUGACCUGAGCCUAAUGUCCUGUUCAAAAGUGUGGGGU